CUCUCAUACUUACAAUCUGUUUUUGUGCUUCAGCAGAUUUUCUUUCUGGACAGGAAAAGGAGAGGUUGAGGACCCAUGAGAAAUGGAGUGACUGAAGCAGAAUGAAAACAAGUCCUUGCAGAGCCACAGUGCCCAUCUCUCAACUCAGAUGACAGACAAUAUCACAAUGUCUAUGGCAAAGCAUAGUGCAGAAUGUCGUUUCUACUCUUCAUUACACAUCCAAAUCAUGAAAGUUUCUUUCUCGUUGUUAAAACAUUAAUUUAUUUGUUAAAGUGUGUCUAAAAACUAUCAGCGAGUAUUAUGGCAAGCUUUAAUUAUUAGCUGGGUUUUUCAUCCACGGAACAAGGCUAGCAGCGCACAAUUAUUCUGCUGGCUCAUCCUGGCUGACCUAACCAGAAAAUCCUGUUAGUGCCAACAGAGGAACAAACACUGGCAGAAAAACACAGAGGUGGAGAUCAAGUUGAAAAAACUAGAAUUAUGCAUCGUGAAGCUCUUUGUUUACCCUGCUGGUGACGGAGCACUGGCACAGACUGCCCAGAGGGUGCGGCGUCUGCUCCUUGGGGAUCUUCAGAAGCUGCCAGGAUGCGGCCCUGGGCACCCUGCUCUGGUGGCCCUGCUGGGCAGAGGUUGGAGCAGAUGGACUGAGGGGGCCCUGCCAACCUCAGCCGCGCUGGGAUUCUGUGAUUUAUGAGGCUUCCUAGGCUGCAAGGGUGCGCAUUUCUCCAAACUCCCUGAGAACAUGCCUCAAACCCAGCUUUUAGGCAAUUCUGAAAGGACGCAACCGUCUUUGGGUUUUACGACUAUUUAAGAGGAUGCAAACACUUUCCCACUAGGAGUGGACAAAGACUGAAUUGUCUUUAGAAGCAAUGACUUAGAAGCAAUAACCGAUGAGCUGAGUGGUACUCCAUUUCAGCUGAUAAACUGGGUAUUAAGGACAGAGCAUCACUGCCAAACACAAGCCCUCCCACAAUUCCUCAUUGCCUUCUGUGAACAAUGACACAACGAGCCAAGGUAUUUAGUCACCUUUACCUUUGCAAAGCCUUCUAGAUAAAUGAACAGGUAAGGCAAUUUGAAAUAAUUUUCUGGCAAGUAUUUGAGUCAUGUCAGAGCUCCUAUGUAAGUGAGAAACAAGAUGUGUAAAACCAGGAUGCCAAAUAUCUCUGACAUGAAUGCUAAUAUGAAUAAAUUACAAGGCUGCAAGAGGAUUCUCCAUCUGAGCAAGCCUAAUGAACCUUCUGUUGCAUCUGUAAAAUAUUUUUACAGUUUUGCCUAAUGAGCCUCAGAGAAUGGAAAAAUGCAGAACAAUGCUGGACUGGGAAAGUUAACCAGCUGAAUGGAAAUAAAUUCUUUUUCUCUUUGAAUUUAUUUUUAGCGGGAAAAAAAAAAAAUUGUCUUAAGAAGUAUAGCAGCAGACUUACCAGUAGACUUCCAAAGCAGUUUUACCGUUCUCCUCCUUGAGCUGCCCAGUGAUUUGGGAAACCGGUAAAAGAAACGCGCUAUCCUUCUGAUGGUUUUGCUGAAGUCGCUUCUUAUUGCCAUGUCUGAAAGGGCUCUACGGCUACAUCAGGACGAGCAGCAGCACGCACCCAGGCUGCGAGAGGAAAGCCCACGACUGCCCGCACACAGCACGCCGGCUCUGAGCUCAGCCUCAGCCAGCACGUCUCGAGACCACCUGUUAGUCCUAAAUCCCCUCCCUCCCAGUCACUCAGUUUAGAGCCCUUUAGACCUCCCUCUUUAUGCCAAGCGGAGCUAUAUUAAUAGAUGCUCUGGCUAAAGAAAGACUAAUGCUUCAGAGCCUUAACCUGGUGCUGCGUUUUCAGUGAUGUUAAAAGAGGACUUAUUUUCCACAGAGGGAUUUUGGAAGGUUCAUCUCCAGCUACCUCUUCUAGUCCGUAAGCAAAUCAAGCCCAAAAUUGAUAGCCUAAGUCCUCUUUCAAACGCCUUUUAUUUAAAUCAACAAGAUUUUAUCCAAGUGUCUCAGAGACCUUCCACUGAAGGUUCUUAGCAAUACACUGAACAAUUUCUAUAAAUACACAGGUUUUUAAAAAGCAACUUUCACUCGUAAUAGAUUCUAAGUUAAAUGUAACAGUCAGAGCAUUCACUGAUACAGUUUGAAUCACGCAUCUAUUCACAUUCAGCUAUCCAAAGGAACUACUAGCAUGUCAGUAGUCAGACUGCACGCUUCAAGCAAGAAACAUGUUGAAUUGUAAACCCAAAGAUGCAAUGAACUAAUAUACCCCCCUGUUUUAAAACAAAUACAACGUACAUUUACUUGUAUAAUUCUAACAUACACAUUUUAACAGCAAGACAAUUUAACCAUUUCCCAAGCCUAGUACGAUCUCCUCAGCUGUGUCACAAGCUUCUCUUCAGCUUCUCACAUUUAAUUUGAUUUUUUUUCUUCUGCUGAAUCUGGACAGCAGAAAACACUGAAUACCAAAACUAAUGUCAUUACUAAACAAAGAUCCUUCUAUCUCAACCUUUAAAUGACAGUAAGGAAGGGCUCUGUUACAUGAGCUACGCUCACAGCAUGCAGUUAAUAACUCUUCUAGAAUUCACUGUGUAUUUCUCUAUGCUAAAAUACGUGAAGUAUUUAGCCCCAUUUUAUACAUUGGACAUUUUUAACAUCCUGCUGACUUCUCAGGUCCAAGUUAGAUAGAUUGCAUUUCCUCCAGUCAGUAUGUCUCCGAAAACAAACAUUUCCACUUCUGCUGGAUCUGCCACAAUUCUUCAGCCAGUGUCAGCAGAAGAGCAGACGUCGGGGCUGGAGCUGCCCGACUCAUCUCCCCUCCGAGCUCCACCCCACCAUGCCAGCAGGAAUUUCACAGCAAAGUGAGGGUUUCAGCACAAGUCAGAGCUCUGACACCCGACUCGGCAAACAGCAGAGCAAGGGCCCAGCAGCUAACUUGCUGCUCUGGGAACCAGCAUGGUUCUGAGCGCUUAAGAGCGGCUGCCAAAUACUGAGUUGAAUGAUUAAGGCUUUUUUUUCCUGAAAUGGGCAUGCACAAAAUGUAAUGGAAACCAAAGUGGCGUAUAUAAAAAUACUCGAUAUUUCAGACUAGAAGCAAAUAUAUGGUAGGACUAAUAGGUUUAUAAAUUGAUAAAGAAGUAUGCAUUAUCUUUAGCAGGAUAUGAAAGGGAAUAUAUUUGUCACCCAAACAAAAAAUACCAAUAUCAUAUUUUUUGUUAUGAUGGUAUUUUAUGAGGCUUAAAAGAGCACUCAGUAAAACACAUCAGGGUAUAAAAACAUAAAGGGGCACACUGACUUUGCUGGUAGGCUCAACAAACCUGUGGAGGACUACGCCUUGUAGCAUUCUGUGCCUUACUGGAACAACACAGAAUUCGAUUAGCAUGCAAAAUCCUCAGUUAAAUAAACCAGACGAUUACGCUGUGUGAAAAACCAGUGUGCUGAACGGCACAGUGGCGGGUCAGCCUCACCCCCGACCCCUACAAGGCCUCUCCCUGUCACAGACCGAUGCCCACCCCGCCCACCUCACACCCUGCGGGCAUGCAGACCUGGCUCCAUGGCCAUGGGUGCUCUCUAGGCCAGGCACCAGAGCCAGGCAGACAUCCUCCCCGCAGCGUCCACACCACAGCCCGCUUUGCACAGGGAAACCUGCGCCUGCUGGUUGGAAAGCGGCCAUAGUGAGCUCCUAGCUGGACCCCUAGGCCCUAAGGGCUGCUGGUGAAACCCCCUGAGGCUGAGACACGUCACUGUCCACACUGACACACAAAGCCCUGCAGGUGGGCUCUGAGCAGGGCUACACAGGGCUGCUGUGCCAAAGCCAUUCCCUUGCUUACUGCUGGAUAUGCAAAACUGGAAAAGAAAAGAACCAAAUGGCAUACAAAAACUCUCACUAUUAUGUAACAUACUUCUAAACAAGGAAAUGCAAACAACCAGUGGCAUCUGUCUGGGAGUCAUAGAGUCACAGAAUUCCUAAGGUAGGAAGACCUCUACGAUCAUCCAGUCCAACCACCAACCCAUCCCCACCAUGCCCACUAACCACGUCCCUCAGUGUCACAUCCACACAUUUAUUGAACACCUCCAGGGACGAUGACUCCCUGGGCAGCCUGUUCCAAUGCAUCACCACUCUUUCUGAGAACUGUGUAAGAAAAAGUAAACAUAUUAAUGAGACAUUACCAUACACUCGUCUCGAUUAGCAAAUAUUCCCAAUAGCUGAGCUCAAAGCAAGUUUUUGCCUUUUUUGUAGUUAGAAUACACUUGGAAAACAAGGUGGUCUCUUUCCCACUCGUGGCAGUAUGGGUAUGUGGCACAAUGCUAUGUACAACCCCUACAGGCAGAUCGCAGAGUGGAGAAGUAUUCACAAGUCAGUCUUCACAAUACUAUUUUCUAUUCCAAUGGAGCUUGAACUUCCAGAGAAGGACAAAGACUUUCAGAGCUCUGUGGUCCCAUGCUUCAGCACUGCCAUGUAUGUAUGACAGUGUCAGGACACAGUGCCACAGAUUUCAUACUAAAACAUAAUUAUAACAUCAUAAUGUGUGAUGCCGAGCUGGUGCUAGGAAGCUCAUAAAGAAUGCAGUGCGUUUCCUAAGAGUAAAGAAACAAAAAUCUGCUGCAUUUGAGCUUUGUUCAGUAAAACUAACAUAAUACUUCCAAUUUCCAGCUCAGCUGUUCAUCCAUCUCUAAUCCAAAUAAGGAGCUAUAUUUUGAGCUUUCUAAAAAAACUUUUGAUUCUCAGCAGCUGCACAUACACAAAAAGAAGGGAUUAAAAAUGGACAGUGACUGACAAUCUGCAGCUUCCAAAACCGUGCCUCUGUUUGAAAGAUGGAAAUUGAAGAACUGCAGCACAAGUAAAACACAUUCACUUUCAGAUAUCAGGAUCUACUCUUUUGCAAAUAAAUCAAUAAAGUUGAAAUAAAUUGUACAGCC